UGGGGAAUUUUGGUCAAUGGGGGAAACCCUGAUCCAGCCAUCCCGCGUGUUCGAUGAAGGCCUUCGGGUUGUAAAGCACUUUUGGCAGGAAAGAAACGUCAUGGGUUAAUACCCCGUGAAACUGACGGUACCUGCAGAAUAAGCACCGGCUAACUACGUGCCAGCAGCCGCGGUAAUACGUAGGGUGCACGCGUUAAUCGGAAUUACUGGGCGUAAAGCGUGCGCAGGCGGUUCGGAAAGAAAGAUGUGAAAUCCCAGAGCUCAACUGUUGAACUGCAUUUUUAACUACCGGGCUAGAGGGUGUCAGAGGGAGGUGGAAUUCCGCGUGUAGCAGUGAAAUGCGUAGAUAUGCGGAGGAACACCGAUGGCGAAGGCAGCCUCCUGGGAUAACACUGCCGCUCAUGCACGAAAGCGUGGGGAGCAAACAGG
rnacentral:rRNA from 1 species